rnacentral:rRNA from 1 species
UACGAAGGGGGCUAGCGUUGCUCGGAAUUACUGGGCGUAAAGCGCACGUAGGCGGAUUGUUAAGUCAGGGGUGAAAUCCUGGAGCUCAACUCCAGAACUGCCUUUGAUACUGGCGAUCUUGAGUUCGGGAGAGGUGAGUGGAACUGCGAGUGUAGAGGUGAAAUUCGUAGAUAUUCGCAAGAACACCAGUGGCGAAGGCGGCUCACUGGCCCGAUACUGACGCUGAGGCGCGAAAGCGUGGGGAGCAAACAGG